UCGGUCCCCGCAUGAGGACUGAUUGAAAACGUCAGUGGUCACGGAUUGGCUCGCGUCCCAUUAGCUAGUCGGCGGGGUAACGGCCCACCGAGGCGACGAUGGGUAGGGGUUCUGAGAGGAAGGUCCCCCACAAUGGAACUGAGACACGGUCCAUACUCCUACGGGAGGCAGCAGUGAGGAAUAUUGGUCAAUGGGCGGAAGCCUGAACCAGCCAUGCCGCGUGCGGGACGACGGCCCUACGGGUUGUAAACCGCUUUUGUGUGUGAGCAAUAAGGCGGCUUAGCGCCGCUGAUGAGAGUAGCAUACGAAUAAGCAUCGGCUAACUCCGUGCCAGCAGCCGCGGUAAUACGGAGGAUGCGAGCGUUAUCCGGAUUCAUUGGGUUUAAAGGGUGCGUAGGCUGUGCGUUAAGUCAGGGGUGAAAUACCGUCGCUCAACGUCGGGGCUGCCCUUGAUACUGGCGUGCUGGAGUGCGGAUGCCGCCGGAGGAAUGAGUGGUGUAGCGGUGAAAUGCUUAGAUAUCACUCAGAACACCGAUUGCGAAGGCAUCUGGCGAAUCCGUAACUGACGCUGAGGCACGAAAGCGUGGGGAUAGAACAGGAUUAGAUACCCUGGUAUUCCACGCCGUAAACGAUGAUGGCUAACCGCCGGCGACACAAUGUCGGUGGCCAAGCGAAAGCGAUAAGCCAUCCACCUGGGGAG
rnacentral:rRNA from 1 species